rnacentral:rRNA from 1 species
AACGAACGCUGGCGGUAUAAGAUGAGUGUGCGUCCCAUUAGAUUGUUGGUGAGGUAACGGCUCACCAAGUCGACGAUGGGUAGCUGGCGUGAGAGCGCGACCAGCCACACUGGCACUGAGACACGGGCCAGACUCCUACGGGAGGCAGCAGUAGGGAAUAUUGGUCAAUGGACGAAAGUCUGAACCAGCCAUGCCGCGUGGAGGAUGACUGCCCUCUGGGUUGUAAACUCCUUUAUAUGGGAAGAAACCUCUGGAUUCACUCCAGAGCUGACGGUAUCAUAUGAAUAAGCACCGGCUAACUCCGUGCCAGCAGCCGCGG